AGUCGAACGGAAAGGCCCUGCUUGCAGGGUACUCGAGUGGCGAACGGGUGAGUAACACGUGGGUGAUCUGCCCUGCACUUCGGGAUAAGCUUGGGAAACUGGGUCUAAUACCGGAUAGGACCGCACUUUAGUGUGUGUGGUGGAAAGUUUUUUCGGUGUAGGAUGAGCUCGCGGCCUAUCAGCUUGUUGGUGGGGUAAUGGCCUACCAAGGCGGCGACGGGUAGCCGGCCUGAGAGGGUGUACGGCCACAUUGGGACUGAGAUACGGCCCAGACUCCUACGGGAGGCAGCAGUGGGGAAUAUUGCACAAUGGGCGCAAGCCUGAUGCAGCGACGCCGCGUGGGGGAUGAAGGCCUUCGGGUUGUAAACUCCUUUCGCUAGGGACGAAGCUUUGUUGUGACGGUACCUAGAUAAGAAGCACCGGCUAACUACGUGCCAGCAGCCGCGGUAAUACGUAGGGUGCGAGCGUUGUCCGGAACUACUGGGCGUAAAGGGCUCGUAGGUGGUUUGUCGCGUCGUCUGUGAAAUUCUGGGGCUUCAC
rnacentral:rRNA from 1 species